AGGUAAUUAACUCAAUGGUAGAGUAUCUCGUUUACACCGAGAAGGCUAAUGGUUCAAAUCCAUUAUUACCUA
rnacentral:tRNA from 1 species